AAUGAAGAGGAUAACAUAAUACUGAGCUAAAAAUUUUGUGUAAAAUAUGUUUUCAGUUUAGUUUACAAUACAAGCUGUAAAUGUGCUGGAGAUUUUAUUGAUGUUGAAGCUUGUAAACAAAACCAAUAAACGUAGGACUUAUUCACGGCAAUGUAUGGGAACCAGAGCUGAGAACCAGUCUAGAAGGCAAAGAAAAUUCCGCCAAGUAAACAACAAAGAAAGGGAUUUGGGAUGUUGUCAGUUGUAUACAUUAUGUGGGCCGGUGACUGCAAGAAGCAAGGAAUGUGGAGCUAAUGCAUGCUGCUAAGGAUGGAAAGUUCUUGUGUUUAUUGGUUGUUCCUGAGACACCAGUCACAGUUGUACCUUAUUUCCAUUUUAGAAGCAAGGAAUGUGGAGCUAAUGCAUGCUGCUAAGGAUGGAAAAGUCUUGUGUAUAUUGGUUGUGCCUGAGACACCAGUCACAGUUGUACCUUAUUUCCAUUUUAGAUGCAAGGAAUGUGGAGCUAAUGCAUGCUGCUAAGGAUGGAAAGGUCUUGUGUAUAUUGGUUGUGCCUGAGACACCAGUCACAGUUGUACCUUAUUUCCAUUUUAGGGAGUCUAUAUACACUUGAGAGGUGAGCAUCAGAUUUAAUUUUGAAGAUUGAUGACCUUCAGAUGUUGUGAUGACGAUUGUUGAAAGAGAUUAUCAACAUAGAACCAAUCCAUAUGAAUGUGCAAGUCAGGACUUGUACAACACCUGAGUACCCAGAUGACUGUUGAACUAAUUGAUGAACAAGAAAAGAUGUAAGAGAGGGGAAUCCAAAACAGAUGUCAUGAUCAAGAAAAUGUACUGUUAUCAAUGAUAUGAUCAAAAAUUUGUAAACUUGUAGUGAUUUAGAAUAUCUUAUCUGUAAUAUAACUCUUCAAUACUUAAUUGUUCACACAUUAUCAUCUUAUCUGUAUAUUAAUCGCCCCCUCUUAUAUAACCCCCUGCUGAUUGUAAUGACCUGUGUAUUGAUUCCUGAUCUUAAGGAUCUUAUACAUGUAAUGUGCUCCUGAUCGUCAGGAGCGGAUCUUGAGUACAGGUGUAUAUAUAUAGUGCGACAGAAUUUUAGAAUAAGAUAGGAAGAUGGAAAUAUAGAAGACUUAGUAGAUAGAACUGUUAGAGAUAGAUAAAGUUACUUACUUACUUGGAAUAUAACCUAAUAUUUCUUGGAUUUAUAUGUACAUGUGAUUAUUUAACUUGGAUUUUAUUUUUAGUGAAUUAUUUUUCCUGAAUGUUUCUUUUUGUGAUGUGCUGUGUAAAUAAACUGUAGACUAGAAUUUCGGCAAGAUAUGAGGAACAAGGAUAAAUUGAUUUAUUCAUGCAAACUGACAUUAUGAAAUGUGUUAUAAGACUGCCUGAUGCGGCGCUACAAACUAACUAGUAAAUAUCUUGGAGAUUUAUAGAUGAACAUGCAAGCAUUCUUGGUUUUAAAUGUUAUUCAUUCAGAGUUUUUGCACAAAUUCAAUUUUCAGUACAGUAAUUUAAACUGGAUGUGUGAUUUUCAGUACAGUUAUGUAAAAUGAAUAUGUUACUUUAUUUUGAUUGUCAGUUUCUCAACAGGACAUAAUUUAUUUUUUUGCAGAACAAAACACACAGAACUUUUUUUCUCUUUGUGCAUCAUACACUUGUAAAUGUUUUACACCAUUUUGGUUACAUAUUUUACAUUUAUGACGUGUAAAUCGAACAAACACAUGAAAAUAUGUGAAGCUGGAUACAUAUGCAAACAUGCAUCUACCAUAACCUAU